AACGUAGGAGGCGAGCGUUAUCCGGAUUCACUGGGCGUAAAGCGCGUGUAGGUGGUUCGCCAAGUCGCAGGUGAAAGCCCCUGGCUCAACUGGGGGAGGCCCUGCGAUACUGGAGGACUUGAGGCAAGGAGAGGAAGGUGGAAUUCCCGGUGUAGCGGUGGAAUGCGUAGAGAUCGGGAGGAACACCAGUGGCGAAAGCGGCCUUCUGGCCUUGUCCUGACACUGAGACGCGAAAGCGUGGGGAGCAAAC
rnacentral:rRNA from 1 species